AAAGUUCUAUCCUAGCUUAGGAUGAACUUUGGCUGCAUACUUAACACAUGCAAGUCGGAAGGAAACGCGAGAAAUGGUGUUUCCAAUGGCGGAGGUGUGAGUAACGCGUAAGAACCUUCCCCUAAAUGGGAAACAACAACUAGAAACGAUUGGUAAUACCCCAUAGGUUUAGGAGAAAAAGAAGGAAUCUUUUCGAAUAGAGGCUCGCGUCUGAUUAGCUAGUUGAUGAGGCAAUAUUUCACUAAAGAUAUGAUCAGUAGUUGGUCCGAGAGGAUGAUCAUCCACACUGUGAUUGAGACACGGCCCAGACUCUUAAGGAAGGCAGCAAUGGAGAAUUUUUCACAAUGUGCGAAAGCUUUAUGGAGUAAUGCCAUGUGAAGGAUAAGGCGACGGGUUGUGAACUUCUUUUCCCGAAGAAGAAUCAAUGACGGUAUUGGGGGAAUAAGCAUCACCUAAAUCUGUUCCAGCAACCGUGAUAAUAUAAAUGAUAUAAGCAUUCAUCGAAAAUGAUUGGGCAUAAAACAUCUGUAGGUGGCUUUUUUAGUCCGACGUCAAAUACCAGGGCUCAAACCUAGACAAACGGUUGAAACUAGCAAGCUGGAGUAUGGUAGGGGCAGAGGGGAUUUCUUGUGGAACAGUGAAAUGAGUAGAGAUGGGAAAGAAUACCAACGGUGAAAGCACUCUGCUGGGACGAUACUGACACUAAGAGACAAAAGCUAAGGCAGAGAAUGGUAUUACAUAGUCCAAUAGUCAUAGAUGUAAAUGAUAAAUACUAGGCACUGUGCGUAUCGACCUGUGCAGUGCCGUUGCUAACACGUCAAGUAUACUGCCUGAGGAGUAUGUUCGUAAGAAUAAAACUCAAAGAAAUUGAUAGGGGCCCACACAAGUAGUGGAGCAUGUGAUUUAAUUUGAUGCAAAGUAAAGAACCUAACCAAUGCUUGACAUGCUGCAAAUCAUCUUGAAAGAGAGGGUUGACUUCGGGAACACAGACACAGGUGGUGCAUGGCUGUCGUCAACUCGUGUCAUAAGGUGUUGGGUUAAGUCCCACAACGAGCGCAACCCUCAUGUUUAGUAUCAAUCACUGAGUUUGGAACCCUGAAUAGACUGUCGGUGAUAAGCCGGAGGAAGGUGAGGAUGASGUCAAGUCAUCAUGCCCCUUAUGCCUUGGGCGAUACACAUGCUACUAUGCCGGGACAAAAGGUCACGAUCCCGUGAGGGUGAGCUCAACCAAACAUAUGUUCUCAGUUCGGAUUGUAGGCUGCAACUCACCUACAUGAAGUUCGAAUCGCUAGUAAUCACCCGUCAGCCAUACGAUGGUGAAUUAGUUCCCAGGCCUUGUACACACCGCCCAUUACACUAUUAGAGUUGGUUAUGCUUGAAGUCGUUACCUUAACCGUAAGAAGGGUAUGCCAAAGGCAUGGCUAGUGACUAGAGUGAAGUCGUAACAAGGUAGCCUUGUUGUAACGUGCGACUG
rnacentral:rRNA from 1 species